GGGGUGGGUGUGCAUGAGCGUGUGUCUCCUUUGUCAAAGGGGUUAAGAGGAGAUACCACCAAGUGCUGUUCUUUUCUAUCCUGGCCAAGUCACGACUAAGCAGAGCAGCCUAGUACUGUUCUUUGUAGGCUUUUGCUUGUCUGCUUUUAAAUCUAAUUUCAGCUUUCCUGGCUGUAUUUACCAUUGAGCAAGUGCCUCACAGAAGGACAAGGUUCUCCAAUUUUCAGAUCAUUGUCUUAAAUUUUCUGAAAUACUAAUUUUUGAAUACUAUUUUAUGUGUUGAUUCCUGGGUGUUCCCAAUGUUGACAUGUUCUUCCCAUUCUUGAGAUGAGACACUUUUUUGCAAAAAUGGUUAAGCAGUAUUUUCCAAAGUUCUGUGAAAUGGUAAUAGAUGUUCCUUAAAAGGGUUCUGUGGUCAAAUAAGUCAGGAACCAGUGAUUUAAAUAAAGUUGAACAGGUUCCUCUACUGCAGGAAUUUAUAACUUUUAAUAAGUAUGCAACAUUUCCCAAACUUAUUUCACUGAACUUUUUUUUUUUUUGGUCCCAUGCAACACCUAUUAACAUCUUUGGGAACACAGUUUCAGAGAUGCUGGGUUAAUAGGAACUAGGAAUUCCCAUGGAGGAGGCUGUG